rnacentral:rRNA from 1 species
AACGAACGCUGGCGGCAGGCUUAACACAUGCAGGUCGAGCGCCCCGCAAGGGGAGCGGCAGACGGGUGAGUAACGCGUGGGAACGUACCCUUUGCUACGGAAUAGCUCCGGGAAACUGGAAUUAAUACCGUAUGUGCCCUACGGGGGAAAGAUUUAUCAGCAAAGGAUCGGCCCGCGUUGGAUUAGCUAGUUGGUGGGGUAAUGGCCUACCAAGGCGACGAUCCAUAGCUGGUCUGAGAGGAUGAUCAGCCACAUUGGGACUGAGACACGGCCCAAACUCCUACGGGAGGCAGCAGUGGGGAAUAUUGGACAAUGGGCGCAAGCCUGAUCCAGCCAUGCCGCGUGAGUGAUGAAGGCCUUAGGGUUGUAAAGCUCUUUCACCGGAGAAGAUAAUGACGGUAUCCGGAGAAGAAGCCCCGGCUAACUUCGUGCCAGCCGCCGCGGUAAAAC